GAUAACGUGAUGACGUCGUAUGCGAACGUGAUGACGCGUUUCGCCCAGAAAAGGCUUCCUCAGAUCACCUCCAGAAAAGGCUUAUUUCUGGGCGAAACGCGUCAUCACGUUCGCAUACGACGUCAUCACGUUAUC